CCUACGGGCGGCAGCAGUGAGGAAUAUUGGUCAAUGGGCGCUAGUCUGAACCAGCCAAGUAGCGUGAAGGAUGACUGCCCUAUGGGUUGUAAACUUCUUUUAUAAGGGAAUAAAAUGAGGCACGUGUACCUCUUUGCAUGUACUUUAUGAAUAAGGAUCGGCUAACUCCGUGCCAGCAGCCGCGGUAAUACGGAGGAUCCGAGCGUUAUCCGGAUUUAUUGGGUUUAAAGGGAGCGUAGGCGGGUUGUUAAGUCAGUGGUAAAAGUUUGCGGCUCAACCGCAAAAUGCCGUUGGUUCUGGCAGCCUUGAGUACAGUAGAGGUAGGCGGAAUGCGUGGUGUAGCGGUGAAAUGCUUAGAUAUCACGAAGAACUCCGAUUGCGAAGGCAGCCUACUGGACUGUAACUGACGCUGAUGCUCGAAAGUGUGGGUAUCAAACAGGAUUAGAUACCCUUGUAGUC
rnacentral:rRNA from 1 species